rnacentral:rRNA from 1 species
GAUGAACGCUGGCGGCGUGCCUAAUACAUGCAAGUCGAGCGAACAGACGAGGAGCUUGCUCCUCUGACGUUAGCGGCGGACGGGUGAGUAACACGUGGAUAACCUACCUAUAAGACUGGGAUAACUUCGGGAAACCGGAGCUAAUACCGGAUAAUAUAUUGAACCGCAUGGUUCAAUAGUGAAAGACGGUUUUGCUGUCACUUAUAGAUGGAUCCGCGCCGCAUUAGCUAGUUGGUAAGGUAACGGCUUACCAAGGCAACGAUGCGUAGCCGACCUGAGAGGGUGAUCGGCCACACUGGAACUGAGACACGGGCCAGACUCCUACGGGAGGGAGCAGUAGGGAAUCUUUCGCAAUGGGGGAAAGCCUGAGGGAGCAAAGCCGCGUGAGUGAUGAAGGUCUUCGGAUCGUAAAAAUCUGUUAUUAGGGAAGAAAAAAUGUGUAAGUAAAUAUGCACGUCUUGACGGUACCUAAUCAGAAAGCCACGGCUAACUACGUG